AUGAAAGAAUAAAUGUUCUAAUGUAGGCGUAAAGGAAGAAGGUACAAGCACCAAUAAAAAGGAAGGAGCGCAAGAUCGAGGUAAAUCCUCUUCGUAGACGAUAGGGCGAAUUGAAGCGAGCACGUGAUCACUACUUAACAUAUCAAGCGCUUCCGCUAGAUGCUUUAAUGUUUUGGGUCAAAAAUUGUGAAAGUUUGUCAAAACUAGUUAGUAGAUGUAAUGGUCAAAAGUUUAUGUUUUUCUUGGAUUUUCGUUGUGUCUAGUCGUAAAGGUCAUGGGAUAUUUGUAUGAAAGUUGUAUGAAACAGGGGCAUGCUCAUCGUACGAAUGGGUCAUGCCCGAUUUUUGUCAAAAAUAUGAAUUUAACUUGUUA